rnacentral:rRNA from 1 species
GAUGAACGCUGGCGGCGUGCCUGAUACAUGUAAGUCGAACGGGGAGCUGAAGAUUCGUUGGAGGCUCUUAGUGGCGAACGGGUGAGUAACACGUUGGUGACCUGCCCCGAAGCGGGGGAUAACAGUUCGAAAGGACUGCUAAAACCGCAUAAGUUCCGUCGAGUUAGAGAAGGCGGAGGAAAAUUUACAGCGAUGUAGAUGCUUUGGGAGGGGCCUGCGGCCCAUCAGCUAGUUGGUAGGGUAACGGCUUACCAAGGCGAAGACGGGUAGGGGGCCUGAGAGGGUGAUCCCCCACACUGGCACUGAAACACGGGCCAGACACCUACGGGUGGCAGCAGUAGGGAAUAUUGCACAAUGGGCGAAAGCCUGAUGCAGCAACGCCGCGUGCACGAAGAAGGCCUUCGGGUUGUAAAGUGCUUUUCUACAGGACGAGGAAGGACGGUACUGUAGGAAUAAGGAUCGGCUAACUACGUGCCAGCCGCCGCGGUAACAC